rnacentral:rRNA from 1 species
AUUGAACGCUGGCGGUAUGCCUAACACAUGCAAGUCGAACGGCAGCAUGGUCUAGCUUGCUAGACUGAUGGCGAGUGGCGGACGGGUGAGUAACGCGUAGGAAUAUGCCUUGAAGAGUGGGACAACUUGGGGAAACUCAAGCUAAUACCGCAUGUACUCGAGAGAGUAAAGCUGGGGACCUUUAGGCCUGGCGCUUUAAGAUCAGCCUGCGUCCGAUUAGCUAGUUGGUAGGGUAAAGGCCUACCAAGGCGACGAUCGGUAGCUGGUCUGAGAGGAUGAUCAGCCACACUGGAACUGAGAGACGGUCCAGACUCCUACGGGAGGCAGCAGUGGGGAAUAUUGGACAAUGGGGGGAACCCUGAUCCAGCAAUGCCGCGUGUGUGAAGAAGGCCUGAGGGUUGUAAAGCACUUUCAGUGGGGAGGAGGUUUGGAAGGUUAAGAGCUAUUCAAAUGGACGUUACCCACAGAAGAAGCACCGGCUAACUCCGUGCCAGCCGCCGCGGUAA